rnacentral:rRNA from 1 species
GAUCAUGGCUCAGGAUGAACGCUAGCUACAGGCUUAACACAUGCAAGUCGAGGGGCAGCAUUUUAGUUUGCUUGCAAACUGAAGAUGGCGACCGGCGCACGGGUGAGUAACACGUAUCCAACCUGCCGAUAACUCCGGAAUAGCCUUUCGAAAGAAAGAUUAAUACCGGAUGGCAUACGGAUAUCGCAUGAUAUUUUAUUAAAGAAUUUCGGUUAUCGAUGGGGAUGCGUUCCAUUAGUUUG